rnacentral:lncRNA from 1 species
GCCAGCUGCAUCAUCACAUAUAAAAUAGUUGUUUUAGUAAAUUCAUGUUCUUGCAAUUCCACAUUCUUGCCUCAAGAUCCGUUUUGAGUAAUGCUGUCCACUGGGGUGUACAGUGUUAACAUGCUGCUUGUCCCAGGUCACAGUGCCCUUUGCCUGUCUGAGCCAUGGCCAGGGAGCCAGGUGAGAGGGAAGAUGCAGGUCUGCCUUUGGUCAGGCCAUGGGACAAAGGGACCCAGAGGGCUGGGGUGCUGGUGAAAGUGGCUCAACUGCACAGGACUCACAGGGACUGUGGUGACCAUUCCAGAUGAAGAGCUGGUGCCAACCAGUCCAUCAGGGCAGGCUGUUCGGAGCGUGGAGAACCAGGAGGGAGUCUCUGGAGAAAGUGGCUCCUGUUGCCCCUCAUAGCAGUGAGCCAUUGGGAGAACUUGAACUGGAGCCUACUGAAUGCGGGCCAGGACCCUGGCUUUGCCAGGCAGAUUCUCUGCUCUCAGGAGCCAACUUUGAUGUAGAAACCUUUCCACGAGGCCUCUAGAAUGAAGGCAAAUGUGAGCAGAAGCUAGACGGGGCCUCAGAAGAUCUCUGUCUCUUGGAACAUGGACGAGGAAGUGGUGUCAAGUCCUCUGGGCAUGGGGCAGUGGGGCAGGAUGGGCCUGGCGCUAGGGCAGCCACUGUGGGGACUCAAGUUCUUUUGCAAGUCAAAGUUCACUUGGCCUCAGGAUCUCUUUGGGCUGCCUGGGUGUGUGGAUUCAGACUAGAAGAACAUCUCCCUGGCUGUAGGCGUGCAGUGGCUACUAGCUAUUUUCCACUG